rnacentral:rRNA from 1 species
GACGAACGCUGGCGGCGUGCUUAACACAUGCAAGUCGAACGCUGAAGCUUGGUGCUUGCACUGGGUGGAUGAGUGGCGAACGGGUGAGUAUCACGUGAGUAACCUGCCCCUGACUUCGGGAUAAGCCUGGGAAACUGGGUCUAAUACCGGAUAUGACCAUCUUUCGCAUGUUGGGUGGUGGAAAGUUUUUUCGGUUGGGGAUGGGCUCGCGGCCUAUCAGUUGUUGGGGGGUAAUGGCCUACCAAGACGACGACGGGUAGCCGGCCUGAGAGGGCGACCGGCCACACUGGGACUGAGACACGGCCCAGACUCCUACGGGAGGCAGCAGUGGGGAAUAUUGCACAAUGGGGGGAACCC